CACCUAGUUGGCAGGGUAAAAGCCUACCAAGGCUAUGAUCGGUAGCCGGCCUGAGAGGGCACACGGCCACACUGGCACUGAAACACGGGCCAGACUCCUACGGGAGGCAGCAGUGGGGAAUCUUGCACAAUGGGGGAAACCCUGAUGCAGCGACGCCGCGUGAGCGAUGAAGCCCUUCGGGGUGUAAAGCUCUUUCGGCAGGGAAGAUUAUGACGGUACCUGCAGAAGCAGCUGCGGCUAACUACGUGCCAGCAGCCGCGGUAAUACGUAGGCAGCAAGCGUUGUUCGGAGUUACUGGGCGUAAAGGGUGUGUAGGUGGCCUGUUAAGUUCCGUGUGAAAUCUCCCGGCUCAACCGGGAGGGUGCGCGGAAAACUGGCGGGCUAGAGUACGGGAUGGGAGAGUAGAAUUCCUGGUGUAGCGGUGAAAUGCGUAGAUAUCAGGAGGAAUACCGGUGGUGUAGACCGCUCUCUGGACCGUAACU
rnacentral:rRNA from 1 species